UACUAUCUGCCAUGAGAGUGAGAUGG
rnacentral:piRNA from 1 species